rnacentral:rRNA from 1 species
UAGUCCACGCCGUAAACGAUGGGUGCUAGAUAUCGGGAGCUUGACUUUCGGUGUCGUAGUUAACGCGUUAAGCACCCCGCCUGGGGAGUACGGUCGCAAGAUUAAAACUCAAAGGAAUUGACGGGGACCCGCACAAGCGGUGGAGCAUGUGGUUUAAUUCGAUGCAACGCGAAGAACCUUACCACCCUUUGACAUCCCGAUCGCGGUUUUCAGAGAUGAGAACCUUCAGUUAGGCUGGAUCGGUGACAGGUGUUGCAUGGCUGUCGUCAGCUCGUGUCGUGAGAUGUUGGGUUAAGUCCGGCAACGAGCGCAACCCACAUCCUUAGUUGCCAGCAGUUCGGCUGGGCACUCUAGGGAAACUGCCCGUGAUAAGCGGGAGGAAGGUGUGGAUGACGUCAAGUCCUCAUGGCCCUUACGGGUUGGGCUACACACGUGCUACAAUGGCAACUACAGUGGGUUAAUCCCCAAAAGUUGUCUCAGUUCGGAUUGGGGUCUGGCAACUCGACCCCACUGAAGUCGG